rnacentral:misc_RNA from 1 species
GGGUGUGGCUUGGUUUCUUGGAUACGGAACCUUAUGUGGGCAUGGGGUCGCCUUAGCGACCCCGCCUUUGCCNUCNUNAAGCGUUCUUGCUUCAANANAACAACACNCGGUCGUGCAUCGACUUGUUCGAUCAUGAUCGUUGUUGUCAAANAANGAUGCUACCUGGUUGAUCCUGCCAGNANUCAGUAUCCUAUGGAUCGAUGUGGCACGGGUAGGGGAAAAUCUCGAUUGGAGUUGCGAGGCGUUGACGCGGCCUGGACGGAGUUUUAUUCCGUGUUGGUUUGCUGAAAUUGUCGGAGCAUUCUCCCGUCGAUGUGCAGUAACCUGCCUUGUGACAAGGUAUCCUAUGGAUCGAUGUGGCACACGUAGGGGAAAAUCUCGAUUGGAGUUGCGAGGCGUUGACGCAGCCUGGACGGAGUUUACCUUCGUGUCGUGCGAUGCCGGUGUUUACGUGUUUUUUGUCCCGAUGAGACCCGAUUGCUAGGUGUACGUUGGAUUGGUGUGGUGCGGCCCGUUGCGAUUCCGUGUCGGUUUGCUGAAAUUGUCGGAGCAUUCUCCCGUCGAUGUGCAGUAACCUGCGUAGUGACAAGGUAUCCUAUGGAUCGAUGUGGCACGGGUAGGGGAAAAUCUCGAUUGGAGUUGCGAGGCGUUGACGCGGCCUGGACGGAGUUUUAUUCCGUGUUGGUUUGCUGAAAUUGUCGGAGCAUUCUCCCGUCGAUGUGCAGUAACCUGCCUUGUGACAAGGUAUCCUAUGGAUCGAUGUGGCACACGUAGGGGAAAAUCUCGAUUGGAGUUGCGAGGCGUUGACGCAGCUUGGACGGAGUUUACCUUCGUGUCGUGCGACAUCAUGGUUUUUGUGUUUCUCGUACCGUUCGGUGCAUUUCGGGAGCUUCUUCGUGCUNGUAGUUGUUUGCCUGGUGUUCGUGCCGGGUUUGUGGCUACUUGUGUGGGUCGUUUCAUGGAAUGAAUAUCGUAAAGGUGCAUGAGUGGUGCUUGGUGUGUUGCUGGUGGUUGGAUGACUGCAUUCGCAGCAACGUCCAUUGGGGCAUACCUCUUCAUUUACGGCGAACGGUUUUUUCGCAACCGGGAGCAUUUGUUGGGUUUUCCUGUGCUGUGUACCUACUUUAGGGCAUGCUAUCGGUUGGUUAAUGUGGAUUUUCAUUCAACGUCACUCGCGUGGCGUGGUUUGAACUAGAUUUCUUUUUGCACNAAUGUACAUAUAGNGGCGUNGUGNGUUAAGAAGAGUCCAUUUUGUNNGGCUUGGUGNUUUGGNUNCGGAACCUUAUGUGNGCAUGGGGUCGCCUNAGCGACCCCGCCNUUGCCCUCGUCAAGCGUUCNNGNUUCAAAAAAACAACACGCGGUCGNGCAUCGACUGUUCGCUC